rnacentral:rRNA from 1 species
GUCUAUGGCCAUGCCACCCUGAACGAGCCCGAUCCCGUCUAAAAUCGGAAGCUAAGCAGGGUCGGGCAUGGUUAGUACUUGAAUGGGAGACCACCUAGGAAGACCAGGUGCUGUAGGCA